rnacentral:rRNA from 1 species
UACGUAGGGUCCGAGCGUUGUCCGGAAUUAUUGGGCGUAAAGGGCUCGUAGGCGGUUUGUCGCGUCUGCUGUGAAAACUCGGGGCUUAACUCCGGGCCUGCAGUGGGUACGGGCAGACUAGAGUGCGGUAGGGGAGACUGGAAUUCCUGGUGUAGCGGUGAAAUGCGCAGAUAUCAGGAGGAACACCGAUGGCGAAGGCAGGUCUCUGGGCCACUACUGACGCUGAGAAGCGAAAGCGUGGGGAGCGAACAGG